CGAAUAUUCAAAAAAGUGACGAAAAUUCAAGAGUCACUUUAUGUUUGUGUCAAUGAUACAAAACCACCUACUAUCUACAUGUGAAACACAUGAAUUGGAAUUCAAACACCGAAGUAUACUAAUUUGGUAAAGUCAUGUUAGUUUUGUCAUCUCUCUUCAUCUUUAGACGUAUCCUCAAUUACACAUAGAUUAUCAACAAUCAUGACUUAUUACUACUUAACUUGAAUCAAAUAUCAAAAUUAACAUAGUAGAAACUAGAAAGAUUGGCAAAAACAAUUUUUGAUGCCCAUACCAGGCAGCGAUGAGCUAAACUAAUUGUCUAAGAAAUGAAAAUUCUGUGUCUAUACUAAAAACUCAACUCUCGGCGCCUAAACAAGUCGUAACAUGAGAAACAUAUAUGCAUAAAGCAAUUACCAUUUUCAAGAAUCCAUUGUGAAUGAGAAAUCAAUCCAGUACUUCAAAGUCAUAUUGGGAUUAUUACUGCUAUUUUUUCGAUCAAUUUCAUCAAACAAUUGGUAAAAGCAAGCCUCAGCACCCCUUCUUUCUUCAAUGGAAUUCCCAUUCCUGACCUUAAAUGCAUCAGCAACCCCUUCAAGUACAUCUCGACAUAGUUUCUGCCUUCUGGUGGCCCUAGACUCAAAUUCGUUUGGCCACACGAUCUCUGUCAAGAUCAACGAAAUAUUCUCUUGGCCCAAAACAGCUAUAGCAGCUAUAACGGCAUAUCCACAUCAUGUCGAAUAAAUUCAGGUAGCGAAACCGGUGACGAUAUCAUCCCGAAAAUUAAAUGGGUGUUCUUGUAACAAGGCGUACCCAAUUCACUUUCCACACUAACAUUAUUUCAAAAUGAAAUUAUAAAUUUCCGUUCUCUGUUUCCUUCUUUGGCAACUACUUAUCUACCACUAUAACUACCAUGUUGACGGAAGAUUUUCACAGACGCUGGCUGCGGCAAGUGGGCCUUACUUCUGCCCAACAUUAUGAUUGGCAAGAAAUAAAAAAAUGACUUUACCUUUAGAAGAUGGUAUGCUGCAAAUCAUAUUUUGCUAGAUUGGAGGCAAAUUAUUAUUGGUGGCAGAGCCGCAACGGCCACUGUACUUCUCCCAUUAGAAGUUGAAGACGGACGUGAUUGGAUUUCAUAUUCAUUCUCCAUAGAUCAAGGUCGGUUUGUCCAAUAGAGAGAGAAGAGAUAAAUAUAGAGAGACCAAGGAGAGAGGGGGAAAAGUUG
rnacentral:lncRNA from 1 species